rnacentral:ncRNA from 1 species
UCGGCUCCGGUUCACCCGCGAAUCCCACGGGACCCGGCGGCC